rnacentral:rRNA from 1 species
CGCUGGCGGCAUGCCUUACACAUGCAAGUCGAACGGCAGCACGGGGCAACCUGGUGGCGAGUGGCGAACGGUGAGUAAUGCAUCGGAACGUGCCAUUGAGUGGGGAUAACGUAGCGAAAGUUGCGCUAAUACCGCAUAUUCUGUGAGCAGGAAAGCAGGGGACCGCAAGGCCUUGCGCUCUUUGAGCGGCCGAUGUCAGAUUAGCUAGUUGGUGAGGUAACGGCUUACCAAGGCGACGAUCUGUAGCGGGUCUGAGAGGAUGAUCCGCCACACUGGAACUGAGACACGGUCCAGACUCCUACGGGAGGCAGCAGUGGGGAAUUUUGGACAAUGGGCGCAAGCCUGAUCCAGCCAUGCCGCGUGAGUGAAGAAGGCCUUCGGGUUGUAAAGCUCUUUCGGCCGGGAAGAAAUCGCAUGGGUUAAUACCCUGUGUGGAUGACGGUACCGGAAUAAGAAGCACCGGCUAACUACGUG